rnacentral:misc_RNA from 1 species
UUUUCUCCCAGAGGUGAUAAUGGUAAUACACAGAAAUCUUCUGUAUGCGGACCAGCUAAGAAAGAGGUUGUCGGUGUUAUAACUCAAUCUCCAAAGCCAGUUCAAGAGAAGAACAGUCAAGUAUCUGGUGCGAAUGAGAACCAUAAUGCUCCUGCUUCAAAGGCACAAGUGGUAGGAUGGCCACCCAUUCGUUCGUUCAGGAAGAACACCAUGGCCUCUAAUUUGACAAAGAACAAUGAAGAAGCUGAAGGAAAAUCUGGAUUUGGUUGCCUUUAUGUAAAGGUUAGCAUGGAUGGUGCACCAUACCUCAGGAAGGUCGACCUCAAAACCUACACCAACUAUGUGGAACUUUCAUCUGCACUUGAGAAGAUGUUCAGUGGCUUUACCAUUGGACAAUGCGGUUCCCAUGGAUUUCCAGGGCGAGAUGGCCUGAGCGAGACUUGUUUAAAGGAUCUGCUCCAUGGCUCUGAAUAUGUUCUCACAUAUGAAGACAAGGAUGGUGAUUGGAUGCUUGUUGGUGAUGUACCCUGGGAGAUGUUUACCGACUCAUGCAGGAGGCUGAGGAUCAUGAAAGGUUCAGAGGCAAUUGGACUUGC